rnacentral:lncRNA from 1 species
GAAGACAAUAUCAUUCCAUUCCAGUCUGUAACAGCUUCACAAAAUUCAAAAAAAUAAAUUUUCAUAUUUUCUAUCAAUUCGAAAUCUUGAAUCUCAAAUGCUCCAUUGUAUAUGAUUGGAUAAACGAUUCACGAUUUCAAAUCAUCAAUUCAAAAUCGUCGAGUAAUUUGAAUUCAAUGUAUCACGCAAAACUGAUUGGACAACCUUGGUUGCUGCUAACAAUGCUAAC